GAGUUCAUGCCCUUCGGGGUAGAUCGCCCACCCUUGUAUAAUAUAUCUUGUUGCUUUGGCAGGCCGCCCUCGGGCACCGGCUCCGGCUGGAUCGUGCCUGCCAGAGGACCCCAAACUCUGAAUGUUAGUGUCGUCUGAGUACUAUAUAAUAGUUAAAACUUUCAACAACGGAUCUCUUGGUUCU
rnacentral:misc_RNA from 1 species